UGAACAGCGCCACCACGUGACGCGGAGCCACGCGUUUACCGUGUGUUUACUGCUGCAUGCUGAACAUUUGGCGUGAUAUUAAGCCAAAAACCAUCUAGUCGAGGCUCUUUAGAUGUGCUAAGGCAUAAUCAGUAGCUAAAAGAUCUGCUAUUUACUCACUCUGGACAGUGAAAAGCAAAAGGUGACUGCAAGAAUUCGCAGAAAGAGACGGCAGAGGGGAAGGUCAAGGCUGUCGAGUCGGAUGGGUUUCCAACGCAAGGCUGUACACUAGAAGCUGAGAAAGACGCGAUGGAUCUUGUGUAAAUAUCAUCUGACCACUGGCCAAGGAUGGAGACGUGGUGGUCACGAUCAGAGCGGGACUGUUCAUGUACAAAUCCCAGAGCAUGCAUUAGCUCAUGAGCUGCCACUCCUGACCACAUACAGCCCGGAGACUGCAAAGACACGGUCUGACUGCCUCCGAUCAUUCCCAGAUAUGACCAGCAGCUAUGGGGUCGAGAGUGGACAACAAUAAUAUUUCAUAGAUCUUACUCACCAUAUGUUGGAGAGAUGAUGUACGGUACAUACACAAAACCAUCAACAGAUCUGGGCCAGCGGCAAGAAUCUCCUAAACAUAUGAUGGCACUGCGGGAUCCUGAACUCAGGAUGUCACCUUCUCUUAAAGGAAAACCUCUGGACACUGGCGGAGUAAGAUAACCACAUGUUUCAUGCUCAAAGUGUAAUUCCCUGUAAAUAUAUGUCUGUAUCUGUACCACACAUACGUUGAUUUACUCUGAGGAUCCUGUCCAUGGCAUUCAUGUCCUCAGAAUUCACAUAAUGCUCUGCUGAAGAGAUUAAGGAUAGUAUAUUUACAUCAGUUCAUUGUAACAACCUACAUUGCUCACCAUGAAAUAUCAGUUUACCUGGAUA